GUAGUCUCGCACAGAUGCAUAUCAAUAAGCGGAGGAAAAGAAACUAACAAGGAUUCCCCUAGUAACGGCGAGUGAAGCGGGAAGAGCUCAAAUUUGAAAUCUUAAAGGGAUUCCCUUUACGAAUUGUAGUUUAAAGAAGUGUUUUCUGUUGAGGUUUUGGUAAAAGUUCUUUGGAAUAGGACAUCAUAGAGGGUGAGAAUCCCGUAUUUGACCUUUACUUUCAACUUUGUGAUACACUUUCGAAGAGUCGGAUUGUUUGGGAAUGCAGUCCAAAAUGGGUGGUAAAUUUCAUCUAAAGCUAAAUAUUGGCGAGAAACCGAUAGCGAACAAGUACCGUGAGGGAAAGAUGAAAAGAACUUUGAAAAGAGAGUUAAACAGUACGUGAAAUUGUCAAAAGGGAGCGUUUGACACCAGUGUUGUUUUUCUGAAAAUCAAUUAAAGAACUGUUUAUGCUAAGUUGUUUAGACUUUAUCAGCUAAUCUGCUUAGUUUUGAGCUUUUCUUUAAUGCACUUUUCAGGUUAACAAGUCAACAUCAAUUUCUUUUGCUGUAAAAAAGCUUGAGGAAGGUGGCUUGAGAUUCGUCUUAAGUGUUUAUAGCCUCUUGCCUAUGCAGUCGGAGAGAUUGAGGUCUGCAGCGUAGAUCCUUCGGGGCUAAAUGCAUUUGUGCUAAGUUAUAGCAUUUUAUAGACAACUUGUUGACUAUGAUUUGUCUUGUAGCUUACUCGCUUAUGUUAUUUUACCUACGCUUAGGAUGUUGACGCAUGAGAUAUACG
rnacentral:rRNA from 1 species